rnacentral:lncRNA from 1 species
CUUUGUAAUAUUUUUUUUUCUUUAGGAAAACGCAUUAUAAAUUCCUACUGAGGAUACCAAGAGCAUAUGCUUUUCCCUUCCAGGAAACAACACUUUUGAAAAUCAUAUUUGAUUCUCCUAACAAACCAAGGACCUUGGUUGCAAACCAAAGAAACCUACUCUGCUUCAUUGAAACAAAGAAGGAAUUCGUGAGAAAGACUCCGGGAAGUUCAUGGAAUUGUCCAGAUGUGGAGAACAGGUGGCAGAGAAGAGACUGCAGUUGUGGCCAAGACUCCCCCUGAGCUCACCCUCCUUCCCUGCCUGCCCAGAAUUGCCUUUAUCAGAGGAAGGUGGAUUUGAACAGGAAGAAAAGUUAAUUUUUCUGUUGAAUCAACGUUGCCCCUUUUGAUUGGCAGCAGGGGUAAAAACUUUGAACCCAAGUUAAAAUGUAAGCCUUUGCCUCACUUUAUUUCAAUUUUUUUGUUGAUUUACCAUUCAACAGACAUUUAUAGAAUACUUUUGUAUGUAAGGAAAUAUGCUAUGAGCUUAUUUAUUUCUUUUUGUACUUGUUCAUU